rnacentral:rRNA from 1 species
GACGAACGCUGGCGGCGUGCUUAACACAUGCAAGUCGAACGGUAAGGCCCUUCGGGGUACACGAGUGGCGAACGGGUGAGUAACACGUGGGUGAUCUGCCCUGCACUUCGGGAUAAGCCUGGGAAACUGGGUCUAAUACCGGAUAGGACCCUGGGAUGCAUGUCCUGGGGUGGAAAGCUUUUGCGGUGUGGGAUGGGCCCGCGGCCUAUCAGCUUGUUGGUGGGGUGAUGGCCUACCAAGGCGACGACGGGUAGCCGGCCUGAGAGGGUGACCGGCAACACUGGGACUGAGAUACGGCCCAGACUCCUACGGGAGGCAGCAGUGGGGAAUAUUGCACAAUGGGCGCAAGCCUGAUGCAGCGACGCCGCGUGAGGGAUGACGGCCUUCGGGUUGUAAACCUCUUUCAGCACCGACGAAGCGCAAGUGGCGGUAGGUGCAGAAGAAGGACCGGCCAACUACGUGCCAGCCGCCGCAGUAA